rnacentral:rRNA from 1 species
CGAGGAAAAGAAACCAACAGGGAUUGCCCCAGUAAUGGCGAAUGAAGCGGCAAGAGCCCAAAUUUGAAAUCGGGCAACCGAGUUGUAAUUUGGAGACGGGACACUAGAGAGGAGGAAGGCGAUUAAGUGCCUUGGAACAGGCUGCCGUAGAGGGUGAGAGCCCCGUGAAUCGCUGGAGACCGAUCAAUUAGUGCCCGCCGAAGAGUCGAGUUGUUUGGGAAUGCAGCUCUAAGUGGGUGGUAUAUUCCAUCUAAGGCUAAAUAUUAGCGAGAGACCGAUAGCAAACAAGUACAGUGAUGGAAAGAUGAAAAGAACUUUGGAAAGAGAGUGAAAUAGUACGUGAAAUUGUUGAAAGGGAAGGGUAUUUGAUCCGACAUGGUGUUUAGCAGCGGCCCGUUCCUCGUGGAUGGGUGCACCUGGUUUACACUGGGCCAGCAUCGGUUCUGGGAGCCAUAUACGGGGUUCGUGAAUGUGGCCCUUCGAUUCUGUCGGAGGGUGUUAUAGCGCGGACAUCUUGUGGCUAGCCGGGACCGGGGACUGCGGUGACUUGUCACCAAGGAUGCUGGCAGAACGAGCAAAUACCACCCGUCUU